GACGAACCGUACGAACGUUAUUCGGAAUUACUGGGCUUAAAGGGUUUGUAGGCGGCCUUGUAAGUCAGGUGUGAAAUCCCUCGGCUCAACCGAGGAAUGGCGCUUGAUACUGCAAGGCUUGAGGGAGACAGGGGUAAGCGGAACUGAUGGUGGAGCGGUGAAAUGCGUUGAUAUCAUCAGGAACACCGGUGGCGAAAGCGGCUUACUGGGUCUCUUCUGACGCUGAGGAACGAAAGCUAGGGGAGCGAACGGG
rnacentral:rRNA from 1 species